UCAGCAACAGAAUUGAAUGAUGUCACUGUGACACCUUGGGAACAGCUGCCUCUGAGCAAGUUGAGCGAGGAGGGACAGAGAAGUGUGCUGGAUGAAACCACGUGAGGACUUGUGGAUCCCACAUUGAGGUGCAUCGAGAGGGCCCACCCUUCUGUUUGGUUAUUGACGUAGAAGGGACAUAUCUGGCCUGACUGCAACACGCAUGCUCGCAGUGUGGGACAGUUCUCAUAAAGGUGAUUCCGUGUAGUUUCUGGAAACGAAGACAUCAGAUGGCAAAGGUCGAGCAGCAGAAUGUCUUUGAAACAACUGUGCCUAUGACCAAGUUCAUGCAUCGUGGUAGACAAGAUGCUUCUCUGUCCAUCGCUCUGACCUGCCAACUCUGGUGCAAGUGUGC